rnacentral:misc_RNA from 1 species
GAUGAAGUACGCAGCGAAAUGCGAUAAGUAUUGUGAAUUGCAGAAUUCCGUGAAUCAUCGAAUCUUUGAACGCACAUUGCGCUUCCUGGUAUUCCGGGGAGCAUGCCCGUUUCAGAAUCAUUAAUAAUCUCACCAGCCCUGGGUCUUGCGAUCCUGGGCCAGUGGAAUUUGGAUGUUUUGCUUGCGCAAUCGUCUUAAAAUGAUCGUAUGUGCACCAAUUGGCGUAUCAAUUGGGUUCCAAAGUGCAACAGAUUUUUCUAUUCGCUGAGGUCAAUCCAAUUGGGCACCUUCCGGAGCAUGUGCCUGGGUCCACACAGGGUUUGCAUCGGUUAGAUGCAGACCUCUGAUAACCUGGUCUGAAAUCGGGCAAGAAAACCCGCUGAACUUAAGCAUAUCAAUAAGCGGAGGA